CCUUCCUGCCGGCGCUCGCUGCUGUGGGGCAGCCUCAUUCGCCAUCAGCUCGGUUGCCUGGGAGACCUGGAGGAGGUCACAGAACCCUCUUCCCAGGACCACUGGGCGGACGAGCUGCAGAUGUGAAGAGAGGAUCGUGGUGGACGCCGCACCGUUUCUUUCUGUUGGACUGUUGAGAAACGACCGUAAAAAUCAAUGAGUGUCCUUUUUUAAUGAUGACAUUUUAAAUGUUUUUUUGCAGAGGAAGAUCUUUCAUGAGUUAUGGUCUGACCAAUAAAUUAUUUAUUUGCCCUCA